GAAUUUUUCGCAAUGGGGGAAACCCUGACGAAGCAACGCCGCGUGGAGGAUGAAGGCCUUCGGGUCGUAAACUCCUGUCGAUCGGGACGAACGUAGUCCGGCCCAAUACGCCGGGCUAUCGACUGUACCGGUAAAGGAAGCCCCGGCUAACUCUGUGCCAGCAGCCGCGGUAAUACAGAGGGAGCGAGCGUUGUUCGGAAUUACUGGGCGUAAAGGGCGCGUAGGCGGUCUUGUAAGUCCCGUGUGAAAUCCCUCGGCUCAACUGAGGAACUGCACGGGAAACUGCGAGGCUUGAGUUCGGGAGAGGGAAGCGGAAUUCCGGGUGUAGCGGUGAAAUGCGUAGAUAUCCGGAGGAACACCGGUGGCGAAGGCGGCUUCCUGGACCGACACUGACGCUGAGGCGCGAAAGCUAGGGGAGCAAACGGG
rnacentral:rRNA from 1 species